UGAGUUUGAUCCUGGCUCAGAUUGAACGCUGGCGGCAGGCCUAACACAUGCAAGUCGAGCGGAUGAAGAGAGCUUGCUCUCUGAUUCAGCGGCAGACGGGUGAGUAAUGCCUAGGAAUCUGCCUGGUAGUGGGGGACAACGUCUCGAAGGGGACGCUAAUACCGCAUACGUCCUACGGGAGAAAGCAGGGGACCUUCGGGCCUUGCGCUAUCAGAUGAGCCUAGGUCGGAUUAGCUAGUUGGUGAGGUAAUGGCUCACCAAGGCGACGAUCCGUAACUGGUCUGAGAGGAUGAUCAGUCACACUGGAACUGAGACACGGUCCAGACUCCUACGGGAGGCAGCAGUGGGGAAUAUUGGACAAUGGGCGAAAGCCUGAUCCAGCCAUGCCGCGUGUGUGAAGAAGGUCCUCGGAUUGUAAAGCACUUUAAGUUGGGAGGAAGGGCAGUAACUUAUUACGUUGCUGUUUUGACGUUACCGACAGAAUAAGCACCGGCUAACUCUGUGCCGGCAGCUGCGGUAAUACUUAGGGUGCAAGCGUUAAUCGGAAUUACUGGGCAUAAAGCGCGCGUAUGUGGUUUGUUAAGUUGGAUGUGAAAGCCCCGGUCUCUCCUGGGAACUGCAUUCUUAACUGACAAGCUAGAGUAUGGUAGAGGGUGGUGGAAUUUCCCUGUGUUCCGCUGAACUGCGCAUAUAUAUGAAGGAACACCAUUGUCGAAUGCGACCUCCUGGA
rnacentral:rRNA from 1 species